rnacentral:rRNA from 1 species
UACGAAGGGGGCUAGCGUUGCUCGGAAUCACUGGGCGUAAAGCGCACGUAGGCGGAUCGUUAAGUCAGGGGUGAAAUCCUGGAGCUCAACUCCAGAACUGCCUUGAUACUGGCGACCUUGAGUUCGGGAGAGGUGAGUGGAACUGCGAGUGUAGAGGUGAAAUUCGUAGAUAUUCGCAAGAACACCAGUGGCGAAGGCGGACUCACUGGCCCGAUACUGACGCUG